rnacentral:piRNA from 3 species
GCUCUGUGGCGCAAUGGAUAGCGCAUUGGA